rnacentral:rRNA from 1 species
AGCAGCCGCGGUAAUUCCAGCUCCAAUAGCGUAUAUUAAAGUUGUUGCAGUUAAAAAGCUCGUAGUUGAAUUUCGGGGUUAGUAGGUUGGUCGUGCCACUGGUAUGUACUGGCUUCACUGAUUCCUCCUUCUUGUAGAACUGUGAUGCCAUUAAUUUGGUGUUGCAGGGAAACAGGACUUGUUACUUUGAAAAAAUUAGAGUGUUUAAAGCAGGCUAACGCUUGAAUACAUUAGCAUGGAAUAAUGAAAUAGGACGUUUCGAUUCUAUUUUGUUGGUUUCUAGGAUUGACGUAAUGAUUAAUAGGGAUAGUUGGG